GAGUUUGAUCAUGGCUCAGGAUGAACGCUGGCGGCGUGCUUAACACAUGCAAGUCGAACGAACCUUCGGGUUAGUGGCGGACGGGUGAGUAACGCGUGAGAAUCUGCCCUCAGGAGGGGGAUAACGGUUGGAAACGACCGCUAAUACCCCAUAUGCCGCGAGGUGAAAUGAAUUUCGCCUGAGGAUGAGCUCGCGUCUGAUUAGCUAGUUGGUGGGGUAAAGGCUUACCAAGGCAUCGAUCAGUAGCUGGUCUGAGAGGAUGAUCAGCCACACUGGGACUGAGACACGGCCCAGACUCCUACGGGAGGCAGCAGUGGGGAAUUUUCCGCAAUGGGCGAAAGCCUGACGGAGCAACGCCGCGUGAGGGAUGAAGGCCUCUGGGCUGUAAACCUCUUUUAUCAAGGAAGAAGAUCUGACGGUACUUGAUGAAUAAGCCACGGCUAAUUCCGUGCCAGCAGCCGCGGUAAUACGGGAGUGGCAAGCGUUAUCCGGAAUUAUUGGGCGUAAAGCGUCCGCAGGCGGCCCUUCAAGUCUGCUGUUAAAAAGUGGAGCUUAACUCCAUCAUGGCAGUGGAAACUGUUGGGCUUGAGUGUGGUAGGGGCAGAGGGAAUUCCCGGUGUAGCGGUGAAAUGCGUAGAUAUCGGGAAGAACACCAGUGGCGAAGGCGCUCUGCUGGGCCAUCACUGACGCUCAUGGACGAAAGCCAGGGGAGCGAAAGGGAUUAGAUACCCCUGUAGUCCUGGCCGUAAACGAUGAACACUAGGUGUCGGGGGAAUCGACCCCCUCGGUGUCGUAGCCAACGCGUUAAGUGUUCCGCCUAGGGAGUACGCACGCAAGUGUGAAACUCAAAGGAAUUGACGGGGGCCCGCACAAGCGGUGGAGUAUGUGGUUUAAUUCGAUGCAACGCGAAGAACCUUACCAGGGUUUGACAUCCUGCGAAUCUCUUGGAAACGAGAGAGUGCCUUCGGGAACGCAGUGACAGGUGGUGCAUGGCUGUCGUCAGCUCGUGCCGUGAGAUGUUGGGUUAAGUCCCGCAACGAGCGCAACCCACGUCUUUAGUUGCCAGCAUUUAGUUGGGCACUCUAGAGAGACCGCCGGUGAUAAACCGGAGGAAGGUGUGGAUGACGUCAAGUCAUCAUGCCCCUUACAUCCUGGGCUACACACGUACUACAAUGCUACGGACAAAGGGCAGCAAGUUCGCGAGGACAAGCAAAUCCCAUAAACCGUGGCUCAGUUCAGAUCGUAGGCUGCAACUCGCCUACGUGAAGGAGGAAUCGCUAGUAAUCGCAGGUCAGCAUACUGCGGUGAAUACGU
rnacentral:rRNA from 1 species